rnacentral:rRNA from 1 species
CUCUNGUGGAUCAGUGGCGAACGGGUGAGUAACACGUGAGCAAUCUGCCCCUGACUCUGGGAUAAGCGCUGGAAACGGCGUCUAAUACCGGAUACGAGCUGCGAAGGCAUCUUCAGCAGUUGGAAAGAAUUUCGGUCAGGGAUGAGCUCGCGGCCUAUCAGCUUGUUGGUGAGGUAAUGGCUCACCAAGGCGUCGACGGGUAGCCGGCCUGAGAGGGUGACCGGCCACACUGGGACUGAGACACGGCCCAGACUCCUACGGGAGGCAGCAGUGGGGAAUAUUGCACAAUGGGCGGAAGCCUGAUGCAGCAACGCCGCGUGAGGGAUGACGGCCUUCGGGUUGUAAACCUCUUUUAGCAGGGAAGAAGCGAAAGUGACGGUACCUGCAGAAAAAGCGCCGGCUAACUACGUGCCAGCAGCCGCGGUAAUACGUAGGGCGCAAGCGUUAUCCGGAAUUAUUGGGCGUAAAGAGCUCGUAGGCGGUCUGUCGCGUCUGCUGUGAAAUCCCGAGGCUCAACCUCGGGUCUGCAGUGGGUACGGGCAGACUAGAGUGCGGUAGGGGAGAUUGGAAUUCCUGGUGUAGCGGUGGAAUGCGCAGAUAUCAGGAGGAACACCGAUGG